rnacentral:rRNA from 1 species
AGAGUUUGAUCGUGGCUCAGGACGAACGCUGGCGGCGUGCUUAACACAUGCAAGUCGAACGAUGACACCAGGAGCUUGCUCUUGGUCGAUUAGUGGCGAACGGGUGAGUAACACGUGAGCAAUCUGCCCUUCACUCUGGGAUAACAGUUGGAAACAAUUGCUAAUACUGGAUAUGACCUCGGAAGGCAUCUUCUAAGGUGGAAAGAAUUUCGGUGAAGGAUGAGCUCGCGGCCUAUCAGCUUGUUGGUGGGGUAAUGGCCUACCAAGGCGACGACGGGUAGCCGGCCUGAGAGGGUGACCGGCCACACUGGGACUGAGACACGGCCCAGACUCCUACGGGAGGCAGCAGUGGGGAAUAUUGCACAAUGGGCGAAAGCCUGAUGCAGCAACGCCGCGUGGGGGAUGAAGGCCUUCGGGUUGUAAACCUCUUUUAGUAGGGAAGAAGCGAAAGUGACGGUACCUACAGAAAAAGCACCGGCUAACUACGUGCCAGCAGCCGCGGUAAUACGUAGGGUGCAAGCGUUGUCCGGAAUUAUUGGGCGUAAAGAGCUCGUAGGCGGUCUGUCGCGUCUGCUGUGAAAACCCGAGGCUCAACCUCGGGCCUGCAGUGGGUACGGGCAGACUAGAGUGCGGUAGGGGAGACUGGAAUUCCUGGUGUAGCGGUGAAAUGCGCAGAUAUCAGGAGGAACACCAAUGGCGAAGGCAGGUCUCUGGGCCGUCACUGACGCUGAGGAGCGAAAGCGUGGGGAGCAAACAGGAUUAGAGACCCUGGUAGUCCACGCCGUAAACGGUGGGCGCUAGUUGUGGGAACCAUUCCACGGUUUCCGUGACGUAGCUAACGCAUUAAGCGCCCCGCCUGGGGAGUACGGCCGCAAGGCUAAAACUCAAAGGAAUUGACGGGGGCCCGCACAAGCAGCGGAGCAUGCGGAUUAAUUCGAUGCAACGCGAAGAACCUUACCAAGGCUUGACAUAUAGAGGAAAGAUCUGGAAACAGUUCCCCCGCAAGGUCUCUAUACAGGUGGUGCAUGGUUGUCGUCAGCUCGUGUCGUGAGAUGUUCGGUUAAGUCCGGCAACGAGCGCAACCCUCGUCCUAUGUUGCCAGCACGUAAUGGUGGGAACUCAUGGGAUACUGCCGUGGUCAACACGGAGGAAGGUGGGGAUGACGUCAAAUCAUCAUGCCCCUUAUGUCUUGGGCUUCACGCAUGCUACAAUGGCCGGUACAAAGGGCUGCGAAACCGCAAGGUUGAGCGAAUCCCAAAAAGCCGGUCUCAGUUCGGAUUGGGGUCUGCAACUCGACCCCAUGAAGUCGGAGUUGCUAGUAAUCGUAGAUCAGCAACGCUACGGUGAAUACGUUCCCGGGCCUUGUACACACCGCCCGUCAAGUCAUGAAAGUCGGUAACACCCGAAGCCGGUGGCCUAACCUUUUUGGAGGGAGCCGUCGAAGGUGGGAUCGGUGAUUGGGACUAAGUCGUAACAAGGUAGCCGUAG